rnacentral:lncRNA from 1 species
GGGCUACACUAAUUUUGAGUCUUGACUAACUCGUUUCCUCUUCUGCUUAGGCAAUCUUUGUUGGAACACCAAUUGCCUUUUAUUGUCUUUUCUCCAGUUCUCUCAACUUUCAACUUUGUCCCCUCAAAUUUGAAUGAGAUCUAAUUUUACCAAUCCUGGGUAUCCACUGGCUGUUAGUCUGAAAUUUUUGGCAAUGAGGAAUAGGAUCUGAAGCUGAUGCUAACAGCCCGCUGGACAACCAGACACACAGGCAAGGCACCUUGCUCAACCCUUCAAACUCCCCAGUCGCCUUGUGAUUACCAAGGGCUUUGGCCACACCUGUCAGCUAACGGGUAUUUCUGAAACGUGGAUUCGAGUGCUGUGGCCACAUUCGUCUGGCUAGUCUAACCAUAAAUCAGCAAGCACUACAGACCAUAUAUAUGUAUAUGUUUGCUUUGAGUGGAAGCUAAACUGGUUCCCAUUCAAGGCAGGCUUUGG